CCCGUUGUUUAGGGCAGUGGCCUGGA
rnacentral:piRNA from 1 species